AGAAAUAUAAAGCAUUUAAUAAAUACAAGCUAAAGAAAACCUCCACCCCCGUGACGUCCAGAAGCACCAACAGCUUGCUUAAAACUAAAGGCAAAUAUUAAGCCAACGCGGAUUGUUGGAAUACCAUUCCAGAAACCUGCGUGGAUGGCAACUACGCAGUCUUUUAUGCACGCAGCCGACGCGCGUACCCGAAUGAAAACGAAACGGUUUGCCGCAAUCCUUGCGGAUGAAACUGCGGCCGGUAUCGACGGCCAAGCUCCAAAAGUUGGCCGAAUUAACCGAUGUGCGGCCAAAUAAGUCUGAAUUAACGAGAGUUUGAUUGCACUGAAUAAUGCAUACGCCGGCCGGGACCAGAGAACUAGUCUGAAUUAUCCGAUUUUCCGAAUUAACGAGGUUCCUAGAAAACCUGCUCGACUUAUCAGGGACUACAUUCUCGGCUGAUCGGUUCUAGGGACACUUUCACAUUUGCGCAAUGUGGCAUCUGGUGCGGUGCGCUUCACUGGAGAAAUGGCCGUUCUGCCCGCUGGUUCAGCCAAUUAGUGUCCACUGAAAGCAAUUUAUCCAAAACUGGUAGACGAAGAAUACGGCUUCUGAAGCUCACUGCAUCAGUAGGAACUAAACGAGUCUCCAAACUGUUCGUUUUAUUGGAGGCUUUGUCUUAAUAUAGAGGUCACCUUAAACGGGAUACAGUAGUGGGUAAGAAAGCGAGGCUAAACGAUGAGCUAACUGCUGGACAAAAAUGAAGGUAAUGACUGCGGCCAAGUAAGUACCAAGUUCCCAACGAGCACUCGACAAGCUGGAACUGAGAAAUGGGUCACAUCAAGAGGAUGCAGCAGUGACAUGUUUAUGCCACACUGCAGCCAAUCCACAGGCAAGUCCCACUCUUGAGUGUUGGAAGGGCAGUCAACUCCUACCCUACUGUGUUAUGGUGUGGAUUUCUUUUAAGGAGAUAAGACAAAUUCUCUGAUAAGAUGAAUACCUUAGCCACCUUUGUGUAGGUCCUGCUGAUUCACUGAACUAUUCUUUAAAAGAUGAAAUAUAGUGUUUUAAGACAGGCCAUGCCAUUUACUGUAUAGCCAGAAAGUUACGUCUACGUUUCAAUUUUGCUGUUUUGGUUUACAGUGCUUUGGGGAAUCAGAAUAAACAUGGUCACCAAUGCAACUGCAAAACGAAUGGCACCAAUCAUACUUUUCAGCUACUUCCGCUACGUGUUUGUUAACGAGGGCUGCAGCGAUGACUGCUGAUUGCACCAGCCCACCUUAUAGGUAAUCAGCACCAGCUCACGCACCUUCUUGACAAUGUCUCAAACCUCAGAUCGUCUUCAAGUGAAAGCAGUGCUUUUGCAGUGGGAAUUAAAAGCACGAAAAUUUGACAGCAUUUGCUACAGUCAAAACUUAUUUCAUAGACACUGCUUUUGCAAAUCUGAUCAGGAGCCUUGUUAUGAACAAUUACGCACGAGCAAGCACUGUGUGCCUCGCUGAAUACCAGUUAUAAUAGAUUGCAUGACAACCCUCACAAUCAGAAGAGGCGGCAAUGAAAUCAGCUGGCAGCUGAAUGGCCAACUUCCAUAAAAUUUUGAACCGGGUGAAAAAGCCUAGUUUCAGGCAGUGUAGAUACAGAUCCCGAAAAGGUCAUGAGGAUACACAGUUUCCAAUACCAAAACUUUAUGCCGCGAUUACGGCACACCAGAAAUCAUGCAGUAACUGGACAGCAUGGGCAUGGCCUCUGAGAUUGGGUGGCAUCCGUGGCAUGCUGAACAUCUUAGAGGCCAUGUUCUGUGACCUGCGUCACGUCCACAAACCACCAGGUGUCUGCAUCGUCUCUAUUUCAAGGCUGUUACUAAGAUUAGAGACAACAGCUAGCCCUGCAAAGCUUUGGUAAGAUCGCUUCAACAGCACAUGCAACACAUUCAUAACCAAAGUACCAUGUUUACUCGAUUCUAACGCGCCCUCGAUUGUAACACACACCCGCUUUCCGUGGGCAAAAAAAAAAAAUCCUUUACAGUACCACGCACCUCAUGCUUUCAAACAGAAAUAUACAACUUUCUCUCAUUUGGAAAACCAGAUUUACUCCCGAUGCACUGAAGUUGCGAUGAAUAAAAAAAAGUUGCAGUUUCGCCAGAAAGGCAAAGCAUCGAAUGUGAUAGCAAAUUAGUAGACCGCUAUACGAAGUAAGGAUAGCAGUUUUAUUGGCCGUACAAACUUGCAAACAUUUGCUUACUAAAUAAAUUAACAAGCACGGUGUCACGCACGCAAGCACACAUGAACACAUCUCGCUCGUUGACCGUGGAAACGAGCUUGCUCUACGCUGGAGUGACGAUGCGCGGCAAGCGAAUUGACCUUCGUGCUCGCAUGCCUCUUCGAUUCCACAUGACCUAUAAGCGGCGAAAACACAGCGCGCGGCGGACUUUCCCCGUCGCAGAUCACCUUCAAGAUAGGGCCAAGGCGAUCGUAUUGCCGAAGUGUAUCAUCGCAAAAUACGUCCUGCUUCGGUCCACUGAAACUCUUCCGCGUUGCUUUGGUGGCGAAAAUCAUCUUCUGUCUGCGCCAGUCGCGCACGCAAGUUUCGGAUUCUCCGAACGCCCGUGAAGUGGCCCGAUUUCCGUCCGUCUCCGCACACAUGAUCACUUUCCUUUUAAAUGCGGCACCAUGAUGAACUCGGCACUUCAUGCCGAUAGAGCAGACGCAGAAAACGGGAACGACGGUAGACUAAUGCCUACGCACGUGUAAUGCAGCACAUGGAGCAAGCUACGACAGCUAGGCUAGAGUGUGGUGAGGCUCGACGUGCGUGCGAAGCGGUCGUAUUCAAAAUGCUGACGGCUAUAUAGUAACGCAGAUUUAGGGUCGUACUCGAUUCUAAGGCGCACAAAUUUUUUGUACCUAUUUUAGCGGGAAAAAAGCGCACGUUAGAUUCGAGUAAAUACAGUAUACAGUCGAACCCCGCUACAACGAAUGCCGCUUCAAUGAAAUAUUUCAAAUUCCCCAUCAGCUAGCCACAGAAGUCAAUGCAAAAAAAGUUCUCGCUCCAACGAACAAUUUUUCAGGCUUGCUUUCGCUUCAACGAAAUUUUCACUCAGUACAGCUGGGCUUUAAGAUUUGUUUUCUGAUAAAAUAAACAUAACCCCAAUCGUCUGCAAUUUUUCGGACACCCACGCUGCUUAGGUUAACCGAAAACAGGUGCCCACUGCACCGUCGCUGAUAAACAAACUCAUGGACGGGCGCCAUUAUUUGGUGGUGAUGACGAUGUGGCUAGCCGCCUUGCGACAAGGCACAGGCCCACUUUGCCAAGCAAGAACCACAGCCAAUCCGUAUCCAUCCUAGGUCACGUGAUCGCUGGCGCAAUGCGGCGACGCAGAUUUUCAUUUAGGCUUGCGUGCUCGGCCAGCAUGGCGGCAAAACGGAAGUUUCUUCCUUUGGAAGUGAAGGCGCGAAUUACCAGCGAGGCUUCAAGCAGCAGAAAGAAAGGAGACGUCGCAGCAGAGUUCGGCAUCUCCAACAGCACGCUGUCGACAAUUUUGAAGUCGAAGGACGCGGUCACUAGUGCUCUUUCUGCGGGGGCGUCCGCCUAACGGAAGAAGUUGACUCAAGCUGCACACGAGGAUCUUGAGAAGGCGUUUACAUGGUUCCUCGACAUGCGUGCCAAGAAAAUGCCAAUUAGCGGAAGCGUGUUACAGCAAAAGGCACUGAACUAUGCUUGCAUGCUCGGCAUCGACGAUUUAAGGCAAGCACAGGUUGGCUGACCCGCUUCAAGGCCCGACACGACAUCGUUGCGGAAGUGUUAUGCAGCGAAUCUGCUGCUUUAGAUGCAAUGGUGCAGCGACUUGGGCGUCAUCUGCUGUGCCGGACAUAAUGAAAGAGUACACCCCGUCCGACAUCUACAACGCAGAUGAGUCGGGACUCUUUUAUGAGCUGUUGCCCACGAAGACGCUGGAUAUGAAGGGCCAACCAUGCAGCAGAGGGAAGCACAGCAAGAAGCGUGUGACUCAGCUUCUCUGCGCUAAUAUGGAUGACACCGACAAGCGCUGCCCUCUCGUUAUCGGCAAGAGCGCGAGGCCUCGCUGCUUCAAAGGCGGUAAGAGCUUGCCAGUAAGUUAUUUAGCAAACAAGAAAUCCUGGAUGACGCAGGCCAUCUUCCGCGAUUGGAUUAUAGCUUUCGACCGCAAUAUGAAGGCCCAAAACCGCAAGGUGUGCUUGCUUAUUGGCUCAGCGCAUAAUGUUGAGGACGCCGAGUUGGAAAAUGUGGAAGUUCACUUCUUCCCCCCAAACUGCACUGCUUUCAUUCAGCCGUUAGACCAAGGCAUCAUUCACAGUGUGAAAAGUGCAUAUCGGCAGCGUUUGAUUCAGCGACUGUUGCUGAAUGUUGACACCGGGCGGGAGACCAAAG